rnacentral:rRNA from 1 species
AUUGAACGCUGGCGGCAGGCCUAACACAUGCAAGUCGAACGGUAGCACAGAGGAGCUUGCUCCUUGGGUGACGAGUGGCGGACGGGUGAGUAAUGUCUGGGAAACUGCCCGAUGGAGGGGGAUAACUACUGGAAACGGUAGCUAAUACCGCAUAACGUCGCAAGACCAAAGAGGGGGACCUUCGGGCCUCUUGCCAUCGGAUGUGCCCAGAUGGGAUUAGCUAGUAGGUGAGGUAACGGCUCACCUAGGCGACGAUCCCUAGCUGGUCUGAGAGGAUGACCAGCCACACUGGAACUGAGACACGGUCCAGACUCCUACGGGAGGCAGCAGUGGGGAAUAUUGCACAAUGGGCGCAAGCCUGAUGCAGCCAUGCCGCGUGUAUGAAGAAGGCCUUCGGGUUGUAAAGUACUUUCAGCGAGGAGGAAGGCGUUGUGGUUAAUAACCGCAGCGAUUGACGUUACUCGCAGAAGAAGCACCGGCUAACUCCGUGCCAGCAGCCGCGGUAAUACGGAGGGUGCAAGCGUUAAUCGGAAUUACUGGGCGUAAAGCGCACGCAGGCGGUCUGUCAAGUCGGAUGUGAAAUCCCCGGGCUCAACCUGGGAACUGCAUCCGAGACUGGCAGGCUAGAGUCUUGUAGAGGGGGGUAGAAUUCCAGGUGUAGCGGUGAAAUGCGUAGAGAUCUGGAGGAAUACCGGUGGCGAAGGCGGCCCCCUGGACAAAGACUGACGCUCAGGUGCGAAAGCGUGGGGAGCAAACAGAAGUAGAUACCCUGGUAGUCCACGCCGUAAACGAUGUCGACUUGGAGGUUGUGCCCUUGAGGCGUGGCUUCCGGAGCUAACGCGUUAAGUCGACCGCCUGGGGAGUACGGCCGCAAGGUUAAAACUCAAAUGAAUUGACGGGGGCCCGCACAAGCGGUGGAGCAUGUGGUUUAAUUCGAUGCAACGCGAAGAACCUUACCUACUCUUGACAUCCAGAGAACUUAGCAGAGAUGCUUUGGUGCCUUCGGGAACUCUGAGACAGGUGCUGCAUGGCUGUCGUCAGCUCGUGUUGUGAAAUGUUGGGUUAAGUCCCGCAACGAGCGCAACCCUUAUCCUUUGUUGCCAGCGGUCCGGCCGGGAACUCAAAGGAGACUGCCAGUGAUAAACUGGAGGAAGGUGGGGAUGACGUCAAGUCAUCAUGGCCCUUACGAGUAGGGCUACACACGUGCUACAAUGGCAUAUACAAAGAGAAGCGACCUCGCGAGAGCAAGCGGACCUCAUAAAGUAUGUCGUAGUCCGGAUUGGAGUCUGCAACUCGACUCCAUGAAGUCGGAAUCGCUAGUAAUCGUGGAUCAGAAUGCCACGGUGAAUACGUUCCCGGGCCUUGUACAAACCGCCCGUCACACCAUGGGAGUGGGUUGCAAAAGAAGUAGGUAGCUUAACCUU